rnacentral:rRNA from 1 species
UACGAAGGGGGCUAGCGUUGCUCGGAAUGACUGGGCGUAAAGGGCGCGCAGGCGGCUCAGACAGUCAGAUGUGAAAGCCCCGGGCUUAACCUGGGAACUGCAUUUGAUACUACUGAGCUUGAGUACGGGAGAGGAUAGUGGAAUUCCCAGUGUAGAGGUGAAAUUCGUAGAUAUUGGGAAGAACACCGGUGGCGAAGGCGGCUAUCUGGACCGUAACUGACGCUGAGGCGCGAAAGCGUGGGGAGCAAACAGG